UACGGAGGAUGCAAGCGUUAUCCGGAAUGAUUGGGCGUAAAGCGUCCGCAGGUGGCUGUGUAAGUCUGCUGUUAAAGAGCAAAGCUUAACUUUGUAAAAGCAGUGGAAACUACACAGCUAGAGUGCAGAAGGGGCAACUGGAAUUCUCGGUGUAGCGGUGAAAUGCGUAGAUAUCGAGAGGAACACCUGCGGCGAAGGCGGGUUGCUGG
rnacentral:rRNA from 1 species